UACAGAGGGGGCAAGCGUUGUUCGGAAUUACUGGGCGUAAAGGGCGCGUAGGCGGCCUUCUAAGUCGAACGUGAAAUCCCCGGGCUCAACCCGGGAACUGCGUCCGAUACUGGAAGGCUUGAAUCCGGGAGAGGGAUGCGGAAUUCCAGGUGUAGCGGUGAAAUGCGUAGAUAUUAGGAAGAACACCGGUGGCGAAGGCGGCCCACUGGUCCGGUACUGACGCUGAGGUGCGAAAGCGUGGGGAGCAAACAGG
rnacentral:rRNA from 1 species